AGAAUCCGUGGACAAAAGAUGUAGCUGAUGCUGAUCCUCUGAAGGCUGAAAUGAUCGAAUUGAAGAGGAAGCUGGAUCUCUUGGUAACUAGUAUAAAUGAAAAGGAUAAGAGCUCGAAAGUCCAGCACAGGGAAAUAGUGAACAGAUUUCAUGAGGUUUGUCAGCCGAGGGAAGAGCAGG